CCCUUAGAUGUUCUGGGCCGCACGCGCGCUACACUGAUACGUUCAGCGAGUAUAUAACCUUGAUUGGAAAAUCUGGGUAAUCUUUUGAAUGCGUAUCGUGCUAGGGAUAGAUUAUUGCAAUUAUUAAUCUUGAACGAGGAAUUCCUAGUAAACGCAAGUCAUCAGCUUGCAUUGAUUACGUCCCUGCCCUUUGUACACACCGCCUGUCGCACAAACCGAUUGAAUGAUUCGGUGAAAAUUUUGGACAUCGAGAGUGGUGAUUAAUUUCGCUGCUCUUAAAUGGAAAGAAUUUAAACCUAAUUAUUUAGAGGAUUGUGAGGUCAUAACA
rnacentral:rRNA from 1 species